rnacentral:rRNA from 1 species
GUACACUCCUACGGGAGGCAGCAGUGGGGAAUUUUGGACAAUGGGCGAAAGCCUGAUCCAGCAAUGCCGCGUGAGUGAAGAAGGCCUUCGGGUUGUAAAGCUCUUUUGUCAGGGAAGAAACGGUGAGAGCUAAUAUCUUUUGCUAAUGACGGUACCUGAAGAAUAAGCACCGGCUAACUACGUGCCAGCAGCCGCGGUAAUACGUAGGGUGCAAGCGUUAAUCGGAAUUACUGGGCGUAAAGCGUGCGCAGGCGGUUUUGUAAGUCUGAUGUGAAAUCCCCGGGCUCAACCUGGGAAUUGCAUUGGAGACUGCAAGGCUAGAAUCUGGCAGAGGGGGGUAGAAUUCCACGUGUAGCAGUGAAAUGCGUAGAUAUGUGGAGGAACACCGAUGGCGAAGGCAGCCCCCUGGGUCAAGAUUGACGCUCAUGCACGAAAGCGUGGGGAGCAAACAGGAUUAGAUACCCCGGUAGUCCC